GACGUUAUAGACGGACGCAGUCAGGAACUUGAUCCGGUAAGGCUCAGCUUGCCGAAGCUCGGACCAGGAGAUCUUGCGGUCCACUGCCUGUUCCCAUCUCGUCUGUGCACCUUGCUGUCGCAUCCCCACCAUCUGGCUAGCGUGCAGUUCCUCCACACCAGCUCUCACCUCCUGUUGGACCAGUUGGCGUCUGUCUUUGCCCAGGGCCUUGCCGUAGCGCGUGGUUGGAACGCUACCAAGCCCUGUUGGUCCAGAUGCCACUGGGCCGUGGCAGGCCCAGCCAUCUACGAAGAACCGCAGCGGGACACCGCGACAACAGGAGGCCGAGCGACAGGGCCGGACCGCCGGGGAGGAGCGGAAGAUGAGCACCGCCGCCGGGAUGGAGAGCCGACCGGAGCCGCCGCCGCUGAGUUACCCCGGAGGAGGCGACAUGACCGCGGAAUAAACAGGCGAGAGGACGCCGCUGCGCCUGUCGCGGCUCACAGUCAGGAUGUCUGGGCCGCCCGCUGGGACCGGGACCGGGACCGGAACCAGAACCGGGACCGGACCGGGGCUGCCGGAUCUGAGCCACCUGACGGAGGAGGAGCGGAGCAUCAUCCUGUCGGUGAUGGAGCGGCAGAAGAAGGAGGAGGAGAAGGAGCAGAGCAUGCUGAAGUAAGUAUUGAUUAUUGAUCAGUGGUGAUCAGCUGCCAACUGGUUUGUGUCUGUCAGUCAAAAUAAAAGCACAUCGCCUACGGUGUGAAUUUUCAAAAUAAAAUCCGCCCAGUUGCAGCACAGAGAGAGUGGAGAGUAAAUGACGUCACAGUAUAUGACCUCUGACCUCCAGUCAGUUUGUCUGUCUGUUGUUUGUGUUGUUUACAGUUCAACAAACAAACAAAAAAAUAGUAAACAAUGUGUUAGUGUAGAUCAAUAAUUAAUCAAUAAUUUUUAUUGAUCAGUUAUUAGCACAUUCAGACUCAUUGAUCGGCUGAAGUUCAGUGAAAGAAGACUCCGCCCACUGUAACCUGUCUUUGAUUGACAGCUCGGUGAUCUGGCUUCUGAUUGGUCGAGGUGUGAGCGGUACAGUGCUACGUCUGGGCUUUUAUUGUGAAGGUAGAUCUUGUUGUUUGUCUGUAAACAAGCGAGGAGCAUUCAAUGUUUAUUUAUUGUUUAUUUGUGUACGGACAAGACUCUGUGAGACUCUCUGAGACUCUGAGACUCUCUGAGACUCUGUGGGACUCUGUGGGACUCUGUGGGACUCUCUGAGACUCUCUGAGACUCUAUGGGACUCUAUGGGACUCUGUGGGACUCUGUGAGACUGUGAGACUGUGAGACUGUGAGACUCUGUGAGACUGUGAGACUGUGUGAGACUCUGUGAGACUCUGUGAGACUCUCUGAGACUCUCUGAGACUCUCUGAGAAUGUGAGACUCUGAGACUCUCUGAGAGUGUGAGACUGUGAGACUGUGAGACUCUGUGAGACUGUGAGACUCUGUGAGACUCUCUGAGACUCUGUGAGACUGUGAGACUCUGUGAGACUGUGAGACUGUGUGAGACUCUGUGAGACUGUGAGACUCUCUGAGACUCUCUGAGAAUGUGAGACUGUGAGACUCUGUGAGACUGUGAGACUCUGUGAGACUGUGAGACUCUGUGAGACUGUGAGACUGUGAGACUCUCUGAGACUCUGUGAGACUGUGAGACUCUGUGAGACUGUGAGACUGUGAGAGAGGGCUAGAGAAUGAUGAUCAUUAUUAUCUCUGAUCAGUUAUUACUGAUACUGAUUAAUCAGCAAGUUUCUUAACUUUUCUUCAGUAUCAAAGGAAUCAGUGAUAGAUGGAGCUAACAAGAGCUAACAGCAGUUAACAAGAGCUAACAGCAGUUAACAGGAGCUAACGGGAGCUAACAGGAGCUAACAAGAGCUAACAGGAGCGAACUAGAGCUAACAGCAGCCAACAGGAGCUAACAGGAGCUAACUAUAGCUAACAGGAGCUAACAGCAGCUAACAGGAGCUAACAGGAGCUAACUAUAGCUAACAGGAGCUAACAGCAGCUAACAGGAGCUAACAGCUAAUUCAGCUACUGUCAGUGGAGAAUCUCUGAUGUUUGUGACGUCUUCCUCCAUUUUCUGUCUGAGCUGAUGAAAAUCAGCAGGAGGAGGAAGAGCAGCAGAAGCAGGAGAUCAUCAUCAUCAUUAUUAUCAUUAUUAUUAUCAUCAUUAUUAUUAUUAUAAUUAUUAUUAUUAUUAUUAUUAUUAUCAUCAUUAUUCAAUUCAAUUUUAUUUGUAUAGCGCCAAUUCAUAACAGAAGUUAUCUCAGGACACUUUUCAAAUAGAGCAGGUCUAGACCGAACUCUUUAUAACAUUAAUUACAGAGACCCAACAGUACCACCAUGAGCAAGCACUUGGAGACAAGGGCAAGGAAAAACUGCCUGUUAAAAGGGCAGAAACCUAGGACAGAUCCUUCGGCUCUAGGUGGGUGGUCGUCUGUCUCGACCAGUUGGGGUGAGAGAGGAGAGGAGAGAGAGAGAGAGAGAGAGAGACAGACAGACAGACAGACAGACAGACAGACAGGUGCACAGCAACAACAGUAUUGGUAAUGGCAAUCUAGCAGGACCAUG
rnacentral:lncRNA from 15 species